rnacentral:rRNA from 1 species
UACGGGGGGAGCAAGCGUUGUUCGGAUUUACUGGGCGUAAAGGGCGCGUAGGCGGCCACCGCAAGUCAAUUGUGAAAUCUCCGGGCUUAACUCGGAAAGGUCAACUGAUACUGCGGGGCUAGAGUGCGGAAGGGGCAACUGGAAUUCUCGGUGUAGCGGUGAAAUGCGUAGAUAUCGAGAGGAACACCUGCGGCGAAGGCGGGUUGCUGGGCCGACACUGACGUGAUGCGCGAAAGCCAGGGGGAGCGAACGGGG